rfam:Ciona savignyi cont_33904, whole genome shotgun sequence.
GUCGUCGUGGCCGAGUGGUUAAGGCGACAGACUUGAAAUCUGUUGGGCUCUGCCCGCAUAGGUUCGAAUCCUGUCGGCGACG